GCCUUGUUAGCUCAGUCGGUAGAGCAUCGGGCUUUUAACCCGAGGGUCGUGGGUUCGAGUCCCGCACAAGGCU